GAUGAACGCUGGCGGCGUGCCUAAUACAUGCAAGUCUAGCGAACGGACGAGAAGCUUGCUUCUUUGAUGUUAGCGGCGGACGGGUGAGUAACACGUGGAUAACCUACCUAUAAGACUGGGAUAACUUCGGGAAACCGGAGCUAAUACCGGCUAAUAUUUUGAACCGCAUGGUUCAAAAGUGAAAGACGGUCUUGCUGUCACUUAUAGAUGGAUCCGCGCUGCAUUAGCUAGUUGGUAAGGUAACGGCUUACCAAGGCAACGAUGCAUAGCCGACCUGAGAGGGUGACCGGCCACACUGGAACUGAGACACGGUCCAGACUCCUACGGGAGGCAGCAGUAGGGAAUCUUGCGCAAUGGGCGAAAGCCUGACGGAGCAACGCCGCGUGAGUGAUGAAGGUCUUCGGAUCGUAAAACUCUGUUAGUAGGGAAGAACAGAUGUGUAAGUAACUGUGCACAUCUUGACGGUACCUAAUCAGAAAGCCACGGCUAACUACGUG
rnacentral:rRNA from 1 species